CCCUGGUGCCACCGUGGUUUGUGAAAUCACUGCCCUGGCAAAUGAACUGGGGGAUAAUGCGGUGGAAGCUGCUUCCCUUGAAGCCGAGUCCUUUAAAUGGGUGCACAUGUAGAGAAAAUUCUCUGCUGUGGUCAUGGGCACGACGUCGGAACGCAGGAGGGUUUGGAUGCAGCCAGCCGGCUUGUUCCCAAUCUUGAUGUCCAUGUACACCUGAGGAUUUGACUAGGCCUUUUUUAGCAGUGGGCUCUCCCUAGGUGCAGAAGAAAUUGCUAGAGAGCUCCCUGAUGCCCCAAGUAGGAGUGCGAGUAUUCUACACACCCACCCAGAACACAACUCCAGUGAGUAGGCUGGAGCAAGUGCUGAUGAGGAAGGCCUUGGGCCCUGACAGGGCUGCAGAAGGCAGGAGCCACGGCCGUAGCACCCAGCUGGAUGCCCAGUGACGGGAGACCUCAGCACUGUCUAACCUGAGGCCCACACACAGGCAUGUUAUCUCAUCAGACUCACCCUCAGAAGCAUCAGUUUCCUUCUCCUGCCCCGCAGUCCCAGAACAGCGCAACCUUAGGAGAUAGAAGGGGCUGACAUGGCAUAAGGAUAAUGUGGAGAGAGGUGCUGAGGGCUAAGGAAGGAAUUCAGGGAAAUAUCACUGCUCAAAGGGUGGACUGAGGAGGAGGAGCCCUUAAAUUAUCCUGGGAAGCAACAGUCAGGAUGGCCUGAUGGAGAAGCAGGAGCAAGUGGAGAGGGCAGGGAGAGCCUUGUGCCUGUGUACUGACUGAGGGGAAGGGACCUCUACAUGAUUCUGCCCCCUUGGAAUUAGGGCAAGAACAGGAAGACAGUGAGCCUGCUGCCAAAGACUAGGAGGAUAGCGGAUGCUGGUGAUGCAGAGUACUCACCAUCCUUUCUCACCUCAGAUAUCCGCCUUGCUCAGCAGCAAUCACAAAUACCUGAGCCCACAUAAGAUAUUUCUCACCUAGAUAAGAAAGCCAAAACUUCUCCUUUAAAUUCACCCAACACCACUCACCUCAGAAAUUCCCUAUGUGGAAAGCAGCAGCCUCUCCUAUGGAAGCAUGAACUGUCAUUCUUACCUCCUGGCUUUCUGCUUUGGGAAGUCUCAACCACCUUCCUCUUUAUCCUCUUCCCAGCAAACUUCUCCACCCAGUCUUC
rnacentral:lncRNA from 1 species